GACGAACGCUGGCGGCGUGCUUAACACAUGCAAGUCGAACGGAAAGGCCCUGCUUUUGUGGGGUGCUCGAUGGGCGAACGGGGGCGUAACACGUGAGUAACCUGCCCUUGACUUUGGGGUAACUUCAGGAAACUAGGGCUAAUACCAGAUAGGAGCUCCUCCUGCGUGGAGGGGGGUGGAACGUUUCGGCGGUUGGGGUUGGAUGGGCGGCUGAUCAGCUUGUUGGUGGGGUAGUGGCUUGCCCAGGGUGUGAAGGGUCGCCGGCCUGAGAGGGUGACCGGCCACAUUGGGACUGAGAUACGGACCAGACACCAACGGGAGGCAGCAGGGGGGAAUAUUGUCCAAUGGGCGGAAGCCGGAUGCAGCAACGCCGCGUGCGGGAUGACGGCCUUCGGGUUGUAAACCGCUUUCGCCUGUGACGAAGCGUGAGUGACGGUAAUGGGUAAAGAAGCACCGGCUAACUACGUG
rnacentral:rRNA from 1 species